CUAGUCUUUCAACCACCUGUGAACUUUUGAUAGAUCUGUGAAGUCGUCUUUCAAGUCGUCAGACUUGGUUUGCUGGGAUUUAAACGUCUCGGUGUGACAACGCAGUCUAUUUACUUAACACACCCCAAAUGUAUGUCUACGAAUGUCAUUUAAUGGGCCUUGUGCCUAUAAACCAUAAUACAACUUUCAACAACGGAUCUCUUGGCUCUCGCAUCGAUGAAGAACGCAGCGAAAUGCGAUAAGUAAUGUGAAUUGCAGAAUUCAGUGAAUCAUCGAAUCUUUGAACGCACCUUGCGCCCCUUGGUAUUCCGAGGGGCAUGCCUGUUUGAGUGUCAUUAAAUUCUCAAACUCACAUUGGUUUUUUCCAUUUGUGAUGUUUGGAUUGUUGGGGGCUGCUGGCCUUGACAGGUCGGCUCCUCUUAAAUGCAUUAGCAGGACUUCUCAUUGCCUCUGCGCAUGAUGUGAUAAUUAUCACUCAUCAAUAGCACGCAUGAAUAGAGUCCAGCUCUCUAAUCGUCCGCAAGGACAAUUUGACAAUUUGACCUCAAAUCAGGUAGGACUACCCGCUGAACUUAAGCAUAUCAAUAAGCGGAGGAAAAGAAACUAACAAGGAUUCCCCUAGUAACUGCGAGUGAAGCGGGAAAAGCUCAAAUUUAAAAUCUGGUGGUCUUUGGCCAUCCGAGUUGUAAUCUAGAGAAGUGUUAUCCGCGCUGGACCGUGUACAAGUCCCCUGGAAUGGGGCGUCAUAGAGGGUGAGAAUCCCGUCUUUGACACGGACUACCAGGGCUUUGUGAUGCACUCUCAAAGAGUCGAGUUGUUUGGGAAUGCAGCUCAAAAUGGGUGGUAAAUUCCAUCUAAAGCUAAAUAUUGGCGAGAGACCGAUAGCGAACAAGUACCGUGAGGGAAAGAUGAAAAGAACUUUGGAAAGAGAGAUAAACAGUACGUGAAAUUGUUGAAAGGGAAACGCUUGAAGUCAGUCGCGUCUGCCAGGGAUCAACCUUACUUUUGUGAGGCGUACUUCCUGGUUGAUGGGUCAGCAUCAGUUUUGGUCGCUGGAUAAAGGUCAGAGAAAUGUGGCACCUUCGGGUGUGUUAUAGUCUUUGAUCAGAUACAGUGGCUGGGACUGAGGAACUCAGCGCCGCAAGGCUGUCUUAGGAUGCUGGCAAAAUGGCUUUAAUCGACCCGUCUUGAAACACGGACCAAGGAGUCUAACAUGCCUG
rnacentral:rRNA from 1 species